UACGUAGGUGGCGAGCGUUGUCCGGAUUUACUGGGCGUAAAGAGCGCGCAGGCGGUCGUUCAAGUCGCGUGUGAAAGCCCCCGGCUCAACUGGGGAGGGUCACGCGAUACUGAUCGACUCGAAGGCAGGAGAGGGAAGUGGAAUUCCCGGUGUAGUGGUGAAAUGCGUAGAUAUCAGGAGGAACACCGGCGGUGUAGACGGCUUUCUGGACCGUAGCUGACGCUGAGACACGAAAGCGUGGGUAGCAAACAGG
rnacentral:rRNA from 1 species